UCAUACGGAGGAUCCAAGCGUUAUCCGGAAUUACUGGGCGUAAAGAGAUGCGUAGGUGGUUUUUUAAGCAAAAUGUGAAAUCACGAGGCUCAACCUCGUGGCUGGAUUUUGAACUGAUCAACUUGAGAAUGGUAGAGGUAACUGGAAUUCCUAGUGUAGGAGUGAUAUCCGUAGAUAUUAGGAGGAACACCAAUGGCGAAGGCAGGUUACUGGGCCAUUUCUGACACUGAGGCUCGAAAGCGUGGGGAGCGAACCGGAUUAGAUACCCGGGUAGUCCACGCCGUAAACUAUGGAUGCUAGCUGUUAUAGGUAUCGACCCCUGUAGUAGCGAAGCUAACGCGUUAAGCAUCCCGCCUGGGGAGUACGGUCGCAAGAUUA
rnacentral:rRNA from 1 species